GCUGCUUUCUGGAAUAAAGAAAUAGAAUUAACAAAUCUGUUCUUUUCAGUUUAAUAUCUGAUAUGCACUCUAUAUGAGGGCUACAUAUUAAAUGGAUUUUUAGAACAGGGAGCCAGAACAGGAGCUUGCUCCUUCUGCUCCACGCAUCGACCUGGUAUUGCAGUACCUCCAGGAGCGGUGCACCUUCC
ensembl:snRNA U2 U2 spliceosomal RNA